rnacentral:sRNA from 1 species
AGAUCUAGGAGCACCAUCAAUCUGUUACUCUGCUAGUUUAUCUAUUAAAACACAAACUAAAGAUGCAUUUAAAUAAGGCCUGUUUAUUGGAAUUAUUAAUAAUUUUGGAGAUGGGAAAAGAGCAUGACUGUUUGACUUUGUAGGUGGAAAUCAACGAGAACUUGCCCGCCAGAAAAACAUGAAGAAAACCCAGGAAAUUAGCAAGGGAAAGAGGAAAGAGGAUAGCUUGACUGCCUCUCAGAGAAAGCAGAGGGACUCUGAGAUCAUGCAAGAAAAGCAGAAGGCAGCUAAUGAAAAGAAGUCUAUGCAGACAAGAGAAAAGUGAUGACUGGCUAUUUGGAAAACCUGGGUGCUACUGCCAACUGGGUGUAUCAUAAGCUCUAAGAUCAAGAUUUUGUAGAGUGGACAGUCAUUACAUACGUUAUAACUUAUCCUUUAAAAACUAUUUUAAACUUUAUCCUUUCAGCUUUACUUAGUGCGAUGUUUUAGAAGCAAUCUUCAAAGAAUAAAACACUAACCAUGCAUGUGACAUAUUGGUGAACAUUAUUUUUAUUAUUGAACAUUCAUAUAUAAUUUAUUAGGUAAUAUGAUCAGAUAAUAGGAUCUCUUAUAUAAUAAAGAAUCUUUGUCAU